rnacentral:lncRNA from 1 species
GAAAGUGAAUUGUGAGUGAGUGUGUGCUCUUGUAAUUCUCUUCUUAUAGCAAUACAAAGCAAGCUUCCUUUUCAAUCUUUUGCAAUCACUCUAUUUCCUUCUUUGCUUGUUACUUGUGUUCAUUGGCCAAUUGCUUCCAAGGGUGCUAAGCACUCUGCUGAGUUCAACCUCCUAAAGGUGAACUGCUGCUGGUGAGAAGGCUGACUUAGCCCAGAGGAGUGGUCUAAGUGCCGCACGUGGCCUUGGAGAGACGAAAUCAUUGGGUCUUCUAGCAAGGAACGUGACAAUUGGUCCUGUCAUGUGGGUGUGUAUUUGUCUGGUGUUUAUUUUUUCUAUUUUUUUCUUUUUGUUAUGGUUUUUCUUCCCAGAUCUGGUGCUUAAGGAGAAAAUUAUAGUGAAAAAAGAGCUUUUAAGGCUAGUCGUUUUCGGUCACCUUCUCGACAAGGAGUUGAUCACUUGAUGUGAUUGAGGAAGUGCAUGUUUCCCUUUCUGGAGCGUCUGGUAUCGUCCUUCUCCCCCAAAUCGUUGUGCAUGUGUCUGUCAGUCUUUCUGCCUUCUCAACUCCAGCUUUUCUAGCUUUCUGCUUGGCUUGCGCUUGCUCUUUAUGUUUCAAUUGGUUUUUUUAAGCUUUGGCUGUCUUUGGAAGAGCAAGCUUUGUCUUCUUCAUCCUCGGAGAUAGUUAAGAAGUUUAGAGAAGAGGAGCAGCAGUCCUGUUUUGGUUUCAACCAAGUAGGGAAGUCAGGUAAUCGGGUUGGGUCUUUAGGAUUUCUGUGGUUAAUUGGGUUUCUUUCUCUUUUGGCUCUAGAGACCCAUACGUUUACUAGGUUGUUCUUAUAGGCCUUGCACCUUUUUAUGUAAUCUUAGGUCUUUAUGGCCUUAUCAAAUGAAUGAUAUAUCUUUGACAAAAAAAAAGUGUUGAAGUAUACAUUAUUAUAAGACUAUUGCUUUCGUCAAAUUUAAAAUAUCUUUGAUUCGAUGUUUUUGAAAGCUUUCUAUAACCUUAACCAACAGCAG